UUUUUGUCUGGACUGGAGUUGC
rnacentral:misc_RNA from 1 species